rnacentral:rRNA from 3 species
UUCUGUAGGUGAACCUGCGGAAGGAUCAUUG